UGUGUCCCGCGCGUAGACUAAGCAUAUCAAUAAGCGGAGGAAAAGAAACUAACAAGGAUUCCCUAGUAACUGCGAGUGAAGCGGGAAAAGCUCAAAUUUUAAAUCUGGUGGUCUUUGACUAUCCGAGUUGUAAUCUAGAGAAGUGUUACCCGUGUCGGACCGUGUAUAAGUCUCCUGGAAUGGAGCGUCAUAGAGGGUGAGAAUCCCGUCUUUGACACGGACUACCGAUGCUUUGUGGUAUGCUCUCAAAGAGUCGAGUUGUUUGGGAAUGCAGCUCAAAAUGGGUGGUAAAUUCCAUCUAAAGCUAAAUAUUGGCGAGAGACCGAUAGCGAACAAGUACCGUGAGGGAAAGAUGAAAAGAACUUUGGAAAGAGAGUUAAACAGUACGUGAAAUUGCUGAAAGGGAAACGCUUGAAGUCAGUCGCGUUGGCCGGGAAUCAGCCUUGCUUUUGCUUGGUGUACUUUCUGGUUGACGGGCCAGCAUCAGUUUUGACCGGUGGAAAAAGUUCAGAGGAAUGUGGCAUCUUCGGGUGUGUUAUAGCCUCUGUUCGUAUACAUCGGUUGGGACUGAGGAACUCAGCACGCCGCAAGGCCGGGUCUUUGACCACGUUCGUGCUUAGGAUGCUGGCAUAAUGGCUUUAAUCGACCCGUCUUGAAACACGGACCAAGGAGUCUAACAUGCCUGCGAGUGUUUGGGUGGAAAACCCGAGCGCGUAAUGAAAGUGAAAGUUGAGAUCCCUGUCAUGGGGAGCAUCGACGCCCGGACCAGACGUUUUCUGACGGCCCUGCGGUAGAGCAUGUAUGUUGGGACCCGAAAGAUGGUGAACUAUGCCUGAAUAGGGUGAAGCCAGAGGAAACUCUGGUGGAGGCUCGUAGCGAUUCUGACGUGCAAAUCGAUCGUCAAAUUUGGGUAUAGGGGCGAAAGACUAAUCGAACCAUCUAGUAGCUGGUUCCUGCCGAUCU
rnacentral:rRNA from 1 species